GACGUCGAAGCCAAGAUGGCGACCGGGACAGGCAAGCACAAGCUGCUGAGUACUGGCCCAACAGAGCCAUGGUCCAUCCGAGAGAAGUUGUGUUUAGCAUCUUCUGUCAUGAGGAGUGGGGAUCAGAACUGGGUAUCAGUUAGCAGAGCAAUCAAGCCCUUUGCAGAACCUGGCCGGCCUCCAGACUGGUUCUCUCAAAAACAUUGUGCUUCUCAGUAUUCUGAGCUCUUAGAGACUACUGAGACUCCAAA
rnacentral:lncRNA from 1 species